ACUCGGCUUCCUCACUCGCUCCGCUCUCCCUCCACCCAGCCUCCCUCGCUCGCUCGCGGCGCUGGGGGCUGGGCUCGCCGCGCAUUCGUUCCAGAGCCCGCAGCCGGGGCUGUCCCGCUGCCUGGGUGGCGCUUGAGUCCCUUCGCCCGCAGCAAUCCCGCGAGCCGCGGCCGCUCCGAUCCCCGGAGGCGGCCGGCAGCUGCGGGAGCUCGGCGCGGGCUCCACAUGGACUCCGCGUUCAAAGUGCCGCACACUUGGAUGCGCGUAAACACGCCCGCUCCGGAGCGUACCUGGAAAGGUGCUUCGCCUGCCGUGAGCGAGUUCUAGGAUGGGACCCGGAGCACCGCGCGUGGGGAGACGCGCAGCGCGCACGGCGAGAGGGGUUUGGUGAAAACGCAAAGCUGAAAUUGAAGUUGUGCGCCCAAAUGUGCGACUUGUCUGCGGGUCUUUUGGGAAGGUUUGAUGGAUCAGUUCUCAUUGCGCGAAAAUAAAGCCAUAGACAGAAUGAAUGUUCACUAAGUGUGCACCGCGGUGUGAUAUCCACGGGAGUUUAUAUUAUCUACUUUCUGCAUGCGUCUGGCACGUGAAGGCGGUUUCUGAAGUACAGUUUGGCUGCCCAAUAAUGUCAAAAUGUGGCUGCCGGAGCGCCGAGGAUUUUUAAAAUACUGCGGUGACCUUCCUGAGCCUUUCAGAAACCUGGGCUGUAAGAGGCACCCUUCCUUUUAAUUCUAGCAUAUAUCUUGAAACUCUGCUUUUUUGUUACUAUCUUUAAAAAUACUUUGCAACCUUCUUUGGUGAAAGGUUCUAGUUUCAAGUUGUCAAAACAUUUGGAAACGUGUAUUCCUGUCAAGCAGUGGUCUUCCUUUAGUGCUUCAAAGAUAAAUUUUCAAACAAAGUAUCAUUUGAAGUAACUUUCACAGCUAUAGACUGUGCAGCCUAACAAACUCCGAGACUAGAUUAGAUUUGGUUCAGCCAAGGUCAAUGACUCUCCCCUGUUGGCCCCUCCCUGGAGGCGGUUACCUAUUUUGACAGGCGUAGCUGGAAGGUGGAAAGGCACCAAAGAAAGUCUAUGGAGUUGCAAACGCCCUUUCUACCAGAAAAGUUCAAAGCUUGAGCCUGGGUGUCCCCGGAGCUAUUGUCACUUGUGAAAGAGGGAAUGUUAGAUUAAACAAUGUCACCUGAUGGGAAUGUAGAUUAUACUGGGUUUCCAAAACACUUCUGUCCAGUUAAGGGAAACAGCACUGAGGAAGCCAAAGACGAGGCCUGCCUCCGUCCUUCAGCUGCCCAGAGCAUUUAGUAUCUUACCAUUGUGUAAGAGCUGUCCACUUACGGUAUGCUGUUUGCUCAACAUAAACCUCACACUGCAAUGCAGGUUCUUUGUCCGAAACGCCCAUUAAAAUGGUGGGAUGGGUGGGGAAAGCUGGUUCCCAGCCCUGGACCUAGACAACAGCUACAAGAAAAUCAAGCCACACUUUGAGUGGCUAAGGAUGCUCACCAGUCUUUACAGUCAGCGACAAGCAAGUGAUUCCUAGCCUCCCAGGAGACAUCUCUUCCAAAGACCACCCUCCUUCCAGCCAGAAGCUCUUAGACUCUGAGCUAGCUUCCUCAAGGUGGUCUCUGUGCACGGGACAACGAGGGUGAGAAUCUGUUCGUUUGUUAGGUGCACUGUCUUAGGACAGAAACCACUUUAUUUGAAUGUCAUGACAGAAGCCGCCAAAGUUGGGGACCUGUACCUUAAACUUGCUCCAGUAAAGUGCCCUUCAAGCU
rnacentral:lncRNA from 1 species